GAUGAACGCUAGCUACAGGCUUAACACAUGCAAGUCGAGGGACGGGCACAAGGGUGAGUAACACGUAGCCCACCUGCACUUUACGCGGGGAUAGCCUUGCGAUAGAAAGAUUAAUACCCGAUGUAAUGAGUGGGGGUGCGUUCCAUUAGGUUGUUGGUGAGGUAGUGGCUAACCAAGCUUUCGAUGGAUAGGGGUGAUGAUGGGAAGGCCCCCCACAAUGGAACUGAGACACAGGCCAAACUCGUACGGGAGGCAGCAGUGAGGAGUAUUAGUCGAUGGGCGUUAGCCUGAACCAGCCAAGUGGCGGAAAGGGUGAAGGCUUAGGGGUCGUAAACUUCUUGUAUAUAAGAAUAGGUAUUAUAAGAAUAAGGAUCGGCUAACUCCGUGCCAGCAGCCGCGGUAAUAC
rnacentral:rRNA from 1 species